CUGUCUCACUGUUUGUGCCUUUGGGUCACCACUGAAACUUGCAUUCAGAAAACACACUUCUCCUGAGAGCAGCACUUCACAGUGAAAAUAUCCUUCUUCAAAAAGCUUUCUACAAUAAAUGAUAAGCUACAUAUGAACAAAUACCCUGCCAGGACACCAGCAGCUCUUCAAGACAAGGACUGAUAGAAUCCAUAUAACCUAGAAAAUUUCAGUGGGAAAACUUCUUUCUCAACCACCACCACCACUUCCAAUCAGUUUGGAGAGCACAGCUUCUUGUUGUGUUUCAGGAUCAGCAUUUGGUGCAGUAAUUCAGACAAGAAGAUGAUUUUGUGUUCUACAGUAACCUUCUACAUGGACAAUAAUUCCAAGAUAAUACAAUGGAUAUUUACAAGGACUUUUCUU